rnacentral:rRNA from 1 species
GAUGAACGCUGGCGGCGUGCCUAAUACAUGCAAGUCGAGCGAACAGACGAGGAGCUUGCUCCUCUGACGUUAGCGGCGGACGGGUGAGUAACACGUGGAUAACCUACCUAUAAGACUGGGAUAACUUCGGGAAACCGGAGCUAAUACCGGAUAAUAUAUUGAACCGCAUGGUUCAAUAGUGAAAGACGGUUUUGCUGUCACUUAUAGAUGGAUCCGCGCCGCAUUAGCUAGUUGGUAAGGUAACGGCUUACCAAGGCAACGAUGCGUAGCCGACCUGAGAGGGUGAUCGGCCACACUGGAACUGAGACACGGUCCAGACUCCUACGGGAGGCAGCAGUAGGGAAUCGUCCGCAAUGGGCGAAAGCCUGACGGAGCAACGCCGCGUGAGUGAUGAAGAUCUUCGGAUCGUAAAACUCUGUUAUUAGGGAAGAACAAAUGUGUAAGUAACUAUGCACGUCUUGACGGUACCUAAUCAGAAAGCCACGGCUAACUACGUG